rnacentral:lncRNA from 1 species
AAUCGGACAACCUGUUGUCGGGUUGCUGCCCUAAAAUUGGUGAUUUUAAGGAAAUUUUGCAGUUUUUGGUUAUUAUCUUGAAUACUAUUAUAGAUAGAGAUAAACUGUAAACAGCAAUAAUGUUCAGCAAAGUAAGAUCUACAAAUAAGUCAGCAUGAUCAAAAUUGUUAGAGGACCCCUUAAGGAGUUAUUGCCCUUUAUAGUCAAUAUUGAACAACUUUUCGUCAUUUUUGUAACUUGUAUAAAAAUCAUUUCUAAAACUACUUGGCCAAAUUUAACCAAACUUGGCCACAAUCAUAAUACUAGGGUAUCUUUUUUUUUUAAAAGUGUCUAAUGACCCUGCCUACCAACGAAGAUGGCCAACAUCUGUAAACACAUUAACAGGUGAGCGACACAGGCUCUUGAGAGCCUCUAGUUUUU